rnacentral:tRNA from 3 species
GCGAGGGUAGCCAAGCUCGGCCAACGGCGACGGACUCAAGAUCCGUUCCUGUAGAGGUUCGAGGGUUCGAAUCCCUUCCCUCGCAC